rnacentral:rRNA from 1 species
GAUGAACGCUGGCGGCGUGCUUAACACAUGCAAGUCGAACGAAGCAAUUUUUUACGAUCCCUUCGGGGUGACGAUUUAUUGACUUAGUGGCGGACGGGUGAGUAACGCGUGGGUAACCUGCCUUGUACAGGGGGACAACAGUUGGAAACGGCUGCUAAUACCGCAUAAGCGCACAGCAUCGCAUGAUGCAGUGUGAAAAACUCCGGUGGUACAAGAUGGACCCGCGUCUGAUUAGCUAGUUGGUGAGGUAACGGCUCACCAAGGCGACGAUCAGUAGCCGAUCUGAGAGGAUGAACGGCCACAUUGGGACUGAGACACGGCCCAGACUCC